rnacentral:rRNA from 1 species
UACGGAGGGGGCUAGCGUUGUUCGGAAUUACUGGGCGUAAAGCGCGCGUAGGCGGCUUUGUAAGUCAGAGGUGAAAGCCUGGAGCUCAACUCCAGAACUGCCUUUGAAACUACAUCGCUAGAAUCAUGGAGAGGUUAGUGGAAUUCCGAGUGUAGAGGUGAAAUUCGUAGAUAUUCGGAAGAACACCAGUGGCGAAGGCGACUAACUGGACAUGUAUUGACGCUGAGGCACGAAAGUGUGGGGAUCAAGCAGG